CUAAACUGGGCUGAAGUAGAAUGC
rnacentral:piRNA from 1 species